GACGACAAAAAAACGAAGAGAAAUCCUCGUGUUAAAUGUUGUUUUAAUCUUUGGCUGUCUGUUUUUUUGUUUUUCUUUUUUUUUUGAAAUUUUAAAUAUUCUGGUUUCUCAUCCAAAGUGUGUGUGUAUGUGAUAUAUUUGUGUUGGCAAUCCAUGUGUGCAGAUCAACAAAAACACUUCCUUCCGAUCGAUUUGAAGAUUUUUUUGUUUUCGAUUUUGAAAUUGAAAUAUCCCCCCCAUGAAUAGAUGAUUGACGAAAUAAUUUGAAAAUUCAAUUCGACUUGAUUCUUGCCUCAAACAAAACAAACAAAUCAGACAUUGGCUGUGAUCAUUAUUAGAUUUUAAAAAAAAUAGUCAUUUUAUUGUUUUCAACUUGAUAAAUUCUUUGUAAAAAACGAAAAAACAAAAUCUAAUCUUUUUUUUCUAUAGAAACCAUGAGUGAUAAACAUAUUGAAACUGUAAAUCAUUUGAAGAAAAAAUUGGACAAAGGUGUUAGCUUUGAAAAGACAAUGCAUAUAUUACAUAAAUUGCAAAAGAUACCAAUUUCAUUUCAAUUAUUAGAGGAAACUGGUAUCGGUUAUAAAUUACGUGAACUAAGUAAACAAGAAAAAAAUAAUGAUAUUGGUAAAACGGCAAAAUUAUUGAUAAAUGCUUGGAAACAAUUUCUUAAAAAUCAACAAAAACGUCAAGAAGAAGAAGAUGAUGAUGAUGAAUCUGAACAUGAAUCAAUGAACAACGACGAUCAUCAUCAUAGUUAUGAUCAAGAAUAUCAAUCAGGCAAUAUGGAUUCAGAUGAUCAACAACAACAUUUUAAUGGCAAUAACGAUGAUGAUAAUGAUGAUGAUGAUGAAAGAAAUCAUUAUGUUUCGGAUAAUAGAUCAGAAGAAAGUACUAGUCCAAAUCAUCAUGAAACUAUUAAUAAAAAGAAACAUAAGAAAAAAAAGAAAUCCAAAUCCAAAGAGAAUAAUUUAAAAGAUGAUGAUGGUGAUGAACGUAAAGAAAGAAAAAAAGAUAAAAAACGUAAACAUCGUAAUGAUGAUUCUGUUGGCAGUGGUGGUGGUGGUAAUGUUAUCGAUACUAAUAAUAAACGUUAUCGAUCAUCAGAAAUAUCCUCUUGUGAUAAUGAUUACAGUCAAAAAUAUUUAAAUGGUGAAAUGAUGAUGACCACCCCUAACGAAUCACGUUGUCCUAAUACCAAAGACCAAACAUCAUCAUCAUCGCGACAUUCAAAAACAAUUAUUUCUUCUUCAAAUGGUGAUGAUAUGUUUAGUUCAAUGUUGAACAUGAGUGAUCAGGUGUUAACAGCAACAGCAACAACAACAACCACCAGUGCUAAACACCAUGGUCGCAAUAAUAAUCGAAUGGAUCAAUCAUCUUUGAAUAAUGAUGAUUAUUCAAGCUACAGUCCUUAUCAACCACAGCAAUCAUCAUCAUCAUCAUCAUUUGAUAGAGAAAUGAUGCAAUCAUUGAAUGCAUCGGCAAAUCGAUAUGAUCCAAGCAUUUAUCAAUAUUAUCAACCACAAAAAUCCAACAUAAAUAAUGAUGAUUUAGAUAAAGAUAAAAAUUCAAUGAUAAAUAUGGCCGGUAUGAAAUUUAAAGGUCGUACACAGGUUUAUGCUGGUUCAUCAAAAGUAGUAACCGUACCGAAAGUAUAUCGUUUACAAGAUAUUUGUAUCAAAGUAUUAAUGAAUCAUGUGAAUAAAAUCUAUGAAGUUGGUGAUCUACCUUAUUUUAUAUUGAAACCUGUGUUUGCUAAAUGUACUGUACAACAACUUCGACGAAUUGAACAUUAUAAUCCGCAAUUAUUGGAAGAUACUGAUGAAUUAUGGCGUGAAUUUUGUGAAAAAGAUUUCAAAAACAAACGAAUGGAUCAAAAUAAAUUUGAAUUUUGGCGUGAUUUUUAUGAUCAUUGUUUGAAUGAACGUGAACAAAAAUUAAAAAAUAUAACCAAGAAUAUUAAUUCAAAACAACGUCAAGCAAUACCUGAACGUAAAACACAACAAUUGGAUGCAGCUAAAACGCCAAGAGAAAUUCGUCGACGACAAGAACGAAAUUUUAAUACACCAUAUCCAUUGUCGAAAUCUUCAACAAGUGGUAGAGCUAUUGGUGGUGGUGGUGGAAUCAAAGCUGCAUUAUCGUCAUCGAUAACACAGAUUUCAAAUAAAUCGAAACCUGCUCCUUUAAUGAAAAAAUUAUUACAAAUGCGGCAUAGUAAAUUUCGGCGAUAAUUUUAUUUUUAUAUUUUUAAAAAAUCGUAUGCGUGAUAUUAUUAUCUUUUUGUUUUCUUCUUUAUUAUUCGGAAUGAACUCUAUUCUUUUGUUUGAAAUAUUUAUAUUUUGGACACACACAUACACUGACACACAAACACUGACUAUAAAUUUUUGAAUUAAAAAA